rnacentral:rRNA from 1 species
CCUACGGGAGGCAGCAGUGGGGAAUCUUGGACAAUGGGCGCAACCUGAUCCAGCCAUGCCGCGUGAGUGAAGAAGGCCUUAGGGUUGUAAAGCUCUUUUGCCAGGGACGCGGUACCUGGAGAAUAAGCCCCGGCAAACUUCGUGCCAGCAGCCGCGGUAAUACGAAGGGGGCUAGCGUUGUUCGGAUUUACUGGGCGUAAAGCGCACGUAGGCGGAUUGUUAAGUCAGGGGUGAAAUCCCGGAGCUCAACUCCGAACUGCCUUUGAUACUGGCAAUCUUGAGGCUGGAAGAGGUUAGUGGAAUUCCCAGUGUAGAGGUGAAAUUCGUAGAUAUUGGGAAGAACACCAGUGGCGAAGGCGGCUAACUGGUCCAGUCUGACGCUGAGGUGCGAAACGUGGGGAGCAAACAGGAUUAGAUACCCUUGUAGUC